rnacentral:lncRNA from 1 species
UUAUACCCUUAAGUACAACAGGGAGUGUAGGCUUGUAUUGCACCUGAAGGUUUUCAAGUUCAAUUGUUCCUUUGGUUGGCCAGUCAGGCUUCGGUCUACAAUCCUCGAUCACCGAGGGAGCUUCACUAGGUAUGUUUGAGAAUUGAAGAACUCUCUCAACUGAUAUCAUUUUGUUUUCAACGUUGCAUAAGUUCCAUAUUACCCAUGCUUGCAGUACAUUUAAGUUCAAGCCAUAUGUGGCUGCCAAUCCUGCCAAGCCUGAUACGACAUCGACAUGCUAGUCAGUUACAAACUCGACAUUAUAGAUAUUGAACUGCAUAAACUUGGGAAAGAUAAACUAUCGAGAUGAUAAAAAAGAGAAGAGGUGGGAGGAAGAGGG